rnacentral:rRNA from 1 species
AUUGAACGCUGGCGGCAUGCCUUACACAUGCAAGUCGAACGGCAGCAUGGAGAGCUUGCUCUCUGAUGGCGAGUGGCGAACGGGUGAGUAAUGCAUCGGAACGUACCGUGUAAUGGGGGAUAACGUAGCGAAAGUUACGCUAAUACCGCAUACGACCUGAGGGUGAAAGCAGGGGAUCGCAAGACCUUGCGUUAUACGAGCGGCCGAUGUCAGAUUAGCUAGUUGGUGAGGUAAUGGCUCACCAAGGCGACGAUCUGUAGCGGGUCUGAGAGGAUGAUCCGCCACACUGGGACUGAGACACGGCCCAGACUCCGACGGGAGGCAGCAGUGGGGAAUUUUGGACAAUGGGGGCAACCCUGAUCCAGCCAUGCCGCGUGAGUGAAGAAGGCCUUCGGGUUGUAAAGCUCUUUCGGCCGGGAAGAAAUCGCACAGGCUAAUACUCUGUGUGGAUGACGGUACCGGCAUAAGAAGCACCGGCUAACUACGUGCCAGCAGCCGCGGUAA